GACGAACGCUGGCGGCGUGCUUAACACAUGCAAGUCGAACGGAAAGGCCCUGCUUUUGUGGGGUGCUCGAGUGGCGAACGGGUGAGUAACGCGUGAGUAACCUGCCCUUGACUUUGGGAUAACUUCAGGAAACUGGGGCUAAUACCGGAUAGGAGCUCCUGCUGCAUGGUGGGGGUUGGAAAGUUUCGGCGGUUGGGGAUGGACUCGCGGCUUAUCAGCUUGUUGGUGGGGUAGUGGCUUACCAAGGCUUUGACGGGUAGCCGGCCUGAGAGGGUGACCGGCCACAUUGGGACUGAGAUACGGCCCAGACUCCUACGGGAGGCAGCAGUGGGGAAUAUUGCACAAUGGGCGGAAGCCUGAUGCAACAACGCCGCGUGCGGGAUGACGGCCUUCGGGUUGUAAACCGCUUUCGCCUGUGACGAAGCGUGAGUGACGGUAAUGGGUAAAGAAGCACCGGCUAACUACGUG
rnacentral:rRNA from 1 species